UAACUAAUUUUUGUCAAUAUUAUAAACACAUACAAAGUGAUAGGCGUGAGCAGAAAUUCCGGCCCCGACCGAAUCCGAAGUGCCCGCAGAAACCCUAACCGCCGCCGCUCACACAAACUACAAAUCCUAACGCCGGGAGAGUAGUCAUGUGAACCCUAGCACGGUUCAUUCAUCUCCUUCUGCCACUGGAUAAUUGUUUUCUCCUCUCUGUUUACUGCCAAUCUGCUUGUCUCCUUCUAACAUCGCGAAGAACAGUUUGCUAGUUUCUUCAUGGAUCUAUUCCACACAACCUAAGCUCCUGCAUUGCCUUAAAUCAGUUUAAUGUCCAUGGUAAUCAUUUAAGUGGUUCUGUUCCAUUGAGCUUUCGCAGCCUUGGGAGUUUGACAUACAUG